rnacentral:lncRNA from 1 species
GCUGCGGGCCGGACUCAGGUCUGCGGGCUGACCCGGCCGCUCCCGCGCCCUGGGCGUGCCGGGGGCCGGAAGCAGAGGGCGCAGGGCUCCAGGCGCCUGGGUUUCGGGCCUAACGGGCGGUGGAGAUCAGCUGGGCCCGAAAGAGGCGGGGCCAGAAAACCUGAGUCUGCAGAAACGGGGUGUGCGCGCCAACGCGCUGGGCGCGGGGACUGGGCCGCACCCGGCGCUCCCUGCCCUGCGGACUCCGGCUGGAGCUUGAUUUGCAGUUUGCUAGACGCCACCAUUAAGAGAUUGCCAGACAGCAAAGAAUAG